UAUAACACAUGCCAUAACUUUGUUCUAUUUACAGAUCGCAACUGUUGAAAAAUGCCAAGAGGAGGCGCACUUAAACAGGAAGCACAUGUAACUGAAGAGAACAAUAAAAAAAGGUUGGCAGGCAUGCGAAACAAACGAUGAGAAAGAACAUGAACAAGCGAAAUAAACUUUCCUAAUGCAUAUCUGGCAAUUGCUAUUUUCUUUUGACAAAAAGCCGUUAUAAAAACCAAUAUGCAGUUGAUAAUUUGCAAUCAUCAAUUAUAACUACAUCAAAUUUUCUAUUAAUUUUAUUACUAAUUAAAAAUUAAUUCUAUAAUACAAUAAUAAUAAUAAUUUCAAUAAUAAUUUCAGUUAUUUGUUAAUAAAUUUUUCAUAAUAAAAUUUUUGAGGUUACAGAAUGAUGAAUUCUUGGAAUAUGUUCAAACUUUUGAUUGGUAAAAUCAUAUCGAGAAUAUCAUAAAAACAAAUAUAUAAGCAUAUUCGUUUAUUUAUUAAUGAGAGUUAGUAAAAUUUCUUUCAGAUAAAAAUUGUUAUAUUCUUCUGCAUUCUUUAAAGACUCGUGGAGUCAUGCAUCUUUGUGUUAUCGGUUAACUGGCUUCUUUUUUUCGAUGAUAUAAGUACUGUAAGUAUCUUUGAAACUCAGAACCUACAAAAAAAUGAAUUACGAAAGAGUAAUGGCAUUACAUCUAUCGCAAGUACAUAACGAACUUGAUCCUAUUACUAGUUAAAAGAAUUCUACGUGCAGGUGUCUCUCAAGUCGCGACAACGACUUUCUAUUUAAGUCUGUUUGGAAACUUCCUGGGCCUUUUAGUUAACAAAGCUAUUUGAAGAAUAAUUUUUUUUAAAAAAAUUUACGCUGACAAAAGAAAAAUUUUCUUUCUUUGAUAUGAGAUGUUAAAAAUACUUUCAUGAGAAACCUACUACAUACUUUCAUAAACUUCAAUACUUUAGUUAUGGAACAGAAUACAUAUAAUUCUUAAUUUAUACAACUUUGACACAUUUCUUUAUUCUUUGUAUAAAUGCCGUUGCUCUAUUGUAAUCGAAGUAAACACCGUUACUUUUUACAGUAAUCAACAUCACUAUAAGCAUUCUUUUAAUGUAUUUUGAUUUCUCAAAUAAAUCUUUCCUAUUUUUCUAA